rnacentral:rRNA from 1 species
CCCUUAGAUGUUCUGGGCCGCACGCGCGCUACACUGAUGCAUUCAACGAGCCUAGCCUUGACCGAGAGGUCCGGGUAAUCUUUGAAACUGCAUCGUGAUGGGGCUAGAUUAUUGCACUUAUUAAUCUUCAACGAGGAAUGCCUAGUAAGCGUGAUUCAUCAAAUCGCGUUGAUUACGUCCCUGCCCUUUGUACACACCGCCCGUCGCUCCUACCGAUUGAGUGUGUUGGUGAGGAGUUUGGAUUGGCCUCGGAAGGUGGUUCGCCACCGUCCGUAGCUGAGAAGUUCUCCAAACCGCCCCACUUAGAGGAAGGAGAAGUCGUAACA